GCAAACCAAAGAGCCAGGCUCGCAGUUUACUGAGAGAGACUCGCUGAGGGACAGAAAGACGAGGGAUAGAAAUACACAAACCUUUCCUGACUGCAGCAGACUCCCUCUCUCCCUUGCCUCUUAAAUGUUCGCCUGUUCCAGCUCUCCACGCUGCCUCUUUCCUCAGUGUAAUCAGCUGUCAGCUAGACUUGAUGUUGUAAAAUCCAUGUGAGGAGGAAAGACAGAUGCAAUGAUUUGAAAGAUCUUCAGUGUUUGAGAAGUUAUCAGUUUUUUCCUACUCGAAGAAUGCAGUGAAACCAUUUGCCAGCAUUAUUAUCUGGAAUUAUAGGUUUGAUAUCCAGCAUCAGUGUUACUAAUUUCUUAUUAAAUAGUACCUCACAGUAGUAGAAAAAUGUAUGGAAGUGCAAGAACAAUCAGUAAUUUGGAAGGCAGUCCUUCCAGGUCUCCUCGUUUGCCAAGAUCUCCUCGUCUGGGCCACAGGAGAACAAGCAGCGGGGGAGGAACAGGUAAGACACUAUCAAUGGAAAACAUCCAGUCCCUUAAUGCAGCCUAUGCAACAUCUGGACCGAUGUAUCUUAGUGACCAUGAAGGUGUAGCGUCUACUACUUUCCCAAAGGGCACAAUGACUCUUGGAAGGGCUGCAAAUCGAGCUGUGUAUGGUGGUCGAGUCACAGCUAUGGGGAGUAGUCCAAAUAUUGCUUCAGCUGGACUUUCUCACACAGAUGUCCUUUCUUAUACUGAUCAGCAUGGAGGUCUGACCACAUCUUCACAUCAUCAUCAUCAUCAAGUUCCCUCUAUGCUGAGACAGGUAAGGGAUAGCACCAUGCUAGAUCUACAGGCUCAGCUCAAGGAACUACAAAGAGAGAAUGAUCUUCUGAGAAAAGAACUGGAUAUCAAGGACAGUAAGCUGGGAUCUUCCAUGAAUAGCAUCAAGACUUUUUGGAGUCCUGAGCUAAAAAAGGAAAGAGUCUUGAGGAAAGAAGAAGCUGCCAGAAUGUCAGUUCUUAAAGAGCAGAUGAGGGUUUCUCAUGAAGAGAACCAGUUUUUGGAUGCCAGGAGAACAAAGCAUUUGCAACUGACCAUCCAGGCACUUCAAGAUGAGCUUCGAACUCAGAGAGACCUUAAUCAUCUUCUUCAACAAGAAAGCGGAAACCGAGGAACUGAGCAUUUUACUAUUGAGCUUACAGAGGAGAAUUUUCGAAGACUUCAGGCAGAACACGAUAGACAGGCUAAAGAGCUCUUUCUCUUGAGAAAAACUCUAGAAGAAAUGGAGUUGAGAAUUGAAACACAAAAGCAAACACUAAAUGCUAGAGAUGAAUCAAUAAAAAAGCUCCUAGAAAUGUUGCAAAGUAAAGGUUUGCCAUCCAAAGGAAUGGAAGAUGACAAUGAAAGAGCUCGAAGGAUGGCCGAGGCUGAAUCUCAGGUUAAUCAUUUAGAAGUGAUUUUAGACCAGAAGGAGAAGGAAAACAUACAUCUUAGAGAGGAACUACACAGAAGAACCCAACUUCAGCCUGAACCAGCAAAGACAAAAGCUCUUCAGACAGUUAUAGAGAUGAAGGACACAAAAAUAGCUUCACUUGAACGCAAUAUAAGGGAUCUCGAAGAUGAAAUACAGAUGUUAAAGACAAACGGAGUUCUGAAUAUAGAGGACCGAGAAGAAGAGAUCAAACAAAUAGAAGUUUACAAGAGUCACUCAAAGUUCAUGAAAAAUAAGAUUGACCAAUUGAAACAGGAACUUUCAAAGAAAGAAUCAGAACUUCUCGCCUUACAAACUAAGCUUGAAACCCUUAGCAAUCAGAAUUCAGAUUGCAAGCAACACAUUGAAGUGCUUAAAGAGUCGCUUACUGCCAAAGAACAGAGAGCUGCCAUACUUCAGACAGAGGUUGAUGCCUUGAGAUUACGACUGGAAGAAAAAGAAACAUUUCUUAAUAAAAAAACAAAACAACUGCAAGACCUCACAGAAGAGAAGGGAACCUUGGCUGGAGAGAUUCGAGAUAUGAAAGACAUGUUAGAAGUAAAGGAAAGAAAAAUCAAUGUCCUUCAGAAAAAGAUUGAAAAUCUACAGGAGCAACUUAGGGACAAAGAUAAACAGCUAACCAAUUUAAAAGACAGAGUGAAAUCGUUGCAGACGGAUUCCAGUAACACGGACACAGCUCUAGCAACAUUAGAAGAAGCUCUGUCAGAGAAGGAGAGAAUAAUAGAGCGCUUGAAGGAGCAGAGGGAACGGGAUGACCGAGAAAGACUGGAAGAAAUAGAAUCCUUCAAAAAGGAAAACAAAGACUUGAAGGAGAAAGUUAAUGCUUUACAAGCUGAACUAACAGAGAAGGAGUCUAAUUUAAUUGACCUCAAAGAACAUGCAUCAUCAUUGGCAUCAACAGGGCUGAAAAGAGACUCCAAAUUAAAGUCUUUAGAAAUAGCCAUAGAACAAAAGAAAGAAGAAUGUAGUAAGUUGGAAGCACAGCUGAAAAAGCAAGCUGAACAGUUGUUCAAUCAGAUGUACAAUCCAAUGCCAAUUAGGAAUAAUGGGAAACAAGGGGCUCAUGAAGCUGAAGAAGAAGCUCGACUGAACCCAGAAUUUGCAGACAGAAUGAAACAGCUUGACAAAGAGGCAUCUUACUACAGAGAAGAAUGUGGUAAAGCUCAAGCUGAGGUUGACAGACUUCUAGAAAUCCUCAAGGAAGUAGAGAAUGAGAAGAAUGACAAAGAUAAGAAAAUUGCUGAGCUAGAAAGCUUGACUUCCAGACACACGAAAGAUCAAAACAAGAAAGUGGCCAAUCUGAAGCACAAUCAACAAAUGGAAAAAAAGAAGAAUGCGCAGUUGCUGGAAGAAGUUCGUAGGCGAGAAGACAAUAUGACAGACAACUCUCAGCACUUGCAGUUAGAAGAACUGAUGAAUGCACUGGAAAAGACCAGACAAGAAUUGGAUGCUACCAAAGCCCGUCUUGCCUCAACACAGCAGUCUCUGGCUGAGAAAGAAGCACAUCUGGCUAACCUCAGAAUAGAGCGGAGAAAACAGCUUGAAGAAAUAUUAGAAAUGAAGCAGGAAGCACUGCUUGCUGCAAUCAGUGAAAAAGAUGCAAACAUAGCCUUGCUUGAACUGUCUGCUUCAAAGAAGAAGAAGACUCAAGAGGAAGUAAUGGCUCUUAAACGAGAGAAAGACAGAUUAGUACAUCAGUUAAAACAACAGGUCUAUAGAAAUAGGAAACAGCCCCUGAGCAUGAACAUAUCAUCCAUUUGUGAUGCUGACUUCAUCACAGACAUUGCUGCCAAGUACCUGGGUUCCAGCCAUGAUGCACAUAUGUCUCAGACACAGAACAGAAUGAAACUGAUGGCAGACAACUAUGAUGAUGACCAUCACCACUUCCACCACCACCAUCAUCACCACCACCACCGGUCUCCUGGGAGGACCCAGCACUCAAAUCACCGACCCUCUCCAGAUCAGGAUGAUGAGGAGGGUAUAUGGGCAUAGCCAUUCCUAUAAACGAAAGUUCCAGUUUUAUUCUGAGGGAUGAUCCAGUCACUGUUGGAGGCACAUAGCCAUGGCAAAUCUCACGCUGUACAUUGAUCACCUGUCCAACCUUUGCCUAGAGUGUGAUCCCCAGUUCCUUCAAGAGAUCCAUCUUUACCUGUCUAUAAAGAGGAGGAGGAAGAGAGAGACAUCUGGGAUAAUCACAUAUCAAAGAUUAACACCAGAGCAGUUAUCAGAGGAGCUGGAGAAAGAAGAGGAAAAAAUGCAGCACUGCAGAAUUAAACUGAUACUCUAUUGCAGUGGAUCUCCAAAUGUAACCAUGACAUCCUGGAGCAGAUCAUAGAAACAGAAGAUGAAUGCUGAGGUUGUUAACAGAUGAAAUGCUGCAUAAAUUGGUGUCUUCUCCAUUAUUUCUUGUAGUCAUUAUGAAGUCAGAUACUCUGGAUGAUAAUGAAGGGGACUCAGUCAGAAAUUAUAAGAACUUCAUUUCCAGCUUUAAUGGGCCUUGUGUUCAGAAUAUUAUUAUUUAAUGAAGUUCAGUUAAAUGGAGUCUUUUAAGCAAUGCUGAUUAAUUGGUAUUGAUUUUUAAUGUGUAAUUCAGGUUCUGUUAGGUGCAGUAUCUUCAUCUGCUGAUUCUGCCUAGCGUAUUCUACAGUAACACUUCUAAAGUGCAUUCAAGGAAUUAGUACACUGUUAUAUAAUGGAGUCUGCGUUAAUCUUACCCCCAGUUAGAAGUGGGCUUUUCAGAAAAGUAAAAACUAAGUAAAAGCCUCCUCUGUUUUCUUAUCUACUGUUACUCAAAUAAUCACAUUUUGAUAGUGUAACGAGUAUUAAGCUCUGGGCCAGGUUGGAAAUGAAAUCAAUUUUUGGUACUACUUGCUGUUGGCAAGGAUUAGCCUUAUGAAAAUAUGAUGUGUGUCUCUGACAAUGCAUGGGGCAUCUAAAUUGAUCAUCAAUAAUUUACAUACCAAAUUUAUAUAUUAGUGGAUGGUAAAAGCUUGAGGUAUGAAAAUGUACAUAUGUGUAUACAUGCACACAUAUACAGAAGUGGAUCAACCUUUUACCAUCCACAUGCAUACAGGUAUGUAUUAAUAAAACCUGGGACUCAUAAAUAUAUCAAGAUAAGAAUGCUGUGAAUACAGUAUAUGCGUUAGGCCUCCUAUAAAUGAAGGACCAUUUGUCAUUGUUUUCUAUAGUGAACAAACAGCCUCCAUCAUGGAUCCCAAUGAAUUUUCAAUGUUAAACAAGAAAAUAUCAGUGAGUAAGGAGAAAUGAAAAGCUGUCUGUAUCAACAAAGAAUUUCAAGUAAAGAUGAAUAAUUUAAAGCACAUGCCAGGAAAAAGAAAAAUCUGAAGUCUUUCUAAUGGAGUGAUGAGACACAAAUGAGAGUUAAAUCUCUACCACUUCCUCAGAGAGAGGAUCCUUACAACUUCAUAACCAUUUUCAGUCAGUCUGGCAAACAUGCAAAUGUUCAGCUGUUUUACUGAUGCAUCUCUCUUUUUGUCAGUGGAAGAAGUACUUCUAUACUGACGUGAGUGGCAAUUGAAUAUUUGCAUUAUUAAAGGACAAACAAUGAAUUUAAGCAUGGGUGGCCUUAAUUCUUAGUAGUUUUUUCUUUGCUGCUGUAAAAAAAGGAUUCUAAUGUGGUUAUUCCAAAAGUCUUGCACUGAAUUUAGAAAAAUGUUAUUUUUUUAAAUCAUUGGUGCAAUUAUCCCUGAAGUAACAUCCUGUGUGAGCCAUACCUAUAUUAACCCCUUUAAAAUGAUUGUUGUGUAGAAAACAGUAUCUUAUUUAGUUGUACCAUCAUUUUUGGUACAAAUAAAGAGCAACUAAGUCAAGCAGGAGUCCUUCUUGAUGUUUCAUCUCAGUAAAUAGAAUAAAAUGUAUGGAAUUAGGAUAGCAUAAGUGAUCCAAAUUCAUUCAUGUUUAAAAAGUUUGUCCUUUAACUAUCAAUGGAAUUUUAGAUCUUUGUUUUCAAAACAGCAAAGCUCUUGGAGUUUAUUUAGCACAUAUGACAAAUGUUGCACUUGCAAACUCAGACAACAGAACUAGUUUCUUGUGAAGAACUUGUUGUCACAGUAAGGGACAACCUUCUGUGUCUCUUACAAUCAGGUCUUUACCUUAACUCUGCAACUGAAUACUUGAAGUAGGAAAUAAACUAGGGGAAAAUAGGGUCAUAAAAACAAAACUGUAUAGUUAGAUAUUUAUAUGUAUGUGCCAAUUUUGUCACAGACAUUAUUUUAGGAGCACUUUUUGCUCCAUUCAUAUUGUAAGAGUAUUGACCUAAACUUUUAUCAGGGGCUAUGAGUUAGUCCCGAAAGAAAAAGAAAUUGUCUAACAUUUUGUUUUUUUCAUUUCAUGUGAUAUCUAUGAUGUUUGGAGAAAAAUCUUUUCAUAUACUGAAAUAGAAUCUCGGGGUUUACAAUAAACACUGUGAUGUUGGGAAAAUAUUUUAUUUCAGCAAUGUUUGGUAGUUUCCCCCCCCUUCCAAAUGUAACCAAUUAAACCAACUUUUGGCUAACAUUUAAGAUAAUUAUUAUUUUAGUGUGGAAUCAGGCUUGUACUGCACAUUCUUUCUUUCAUUUAAAUGUACAGUAUGAAUUUUGUAUUUAAUUAAUUUUGUGUAUCUAGUAUGCACGUAACUGCACAUUGACUUUCAUUUGAAAGUGGGUUUAAAUUUCUUUUUCAACAGUGUUUAUGAAAAGACCUCAGAUGUGUUGACACAAACUAUAUCUGCAAUGUGUGUGGGGGGAGGGUUGUUUUUUUGUGUAGAGUGAUGUUGGAAUGUGAUGUUCUACAACAAUGGGUCAGUAUUCUCUAUUUACCUUAACCCCUCAUUUGAUAGUGCUUCAUGUAAUAAUUUUCUCAAGUGAGUGGCAUGUUCUGGAUUGUGAUAUUGAUAUGUGGUUAAGGACAUUGAUAUGAAACUAAGGAAUCCUUAGAAAUUACCAGUGGGCAUGUAUUAGACAGUCAUUGUAAUUUAAUGUCCAGUAAAAGUGUGAAGUACCAAGGUAUUUAGAGAUCAUAACAUUAUUAUCAUGUGUAUGGGAAGUACUUACUGUUGAUCAGCUUGUUUCUAUUCAUCAAAUAAACUGUUUCUUUCUGAAAA